GGGGUCACCGGGCGGGCGGGGAGGCGGCGGCGGCGGAGCCCAGUCUGGUGAGCGGCAGCCGCAGAGCCACUCGUCCGUCCCAGCGGACAGCUGCUGAAGGCAGCCCGCUACACCACACACGGCUCGGACAAAAGGAAGCACAUUCAAGAAGGACGUUACAAGAGAAGAACCAAGACAAUCAACACAGUUGAGAGUUAUUUGCACUGUACUUUGCAAUUCUUGAUUAUCACUUUACAACAUUAAAAAAUGAGGCAGCUGAAAGGAAAACCAAAAAAGGAGACUUCGAAAGACAAAAAAGAACGGCGGCAAGCCAUGCAAGAAGCUCGAAGUCAAAUCACCACCAUCGUGUUUCCCACAUUAGCUGUGAUUGUGCUGUUGAUUGUUCUGUUUGUUUACGUGGCCACACGACCAACCACUGCAUGAGAGAAAAAUUACAGAGCAUUUUAUGAAGAAUUUUCAUCUUGGCUACAAUGGAUUUAAAAUGGAUUUAAAACUCCAGCUAGAAACAUUUAUGUCCAAUUGCAGUUCCAUUCUUCUUGGUCUUGACACGUGUUUAAAGAGUAUUGUUGCCCAAUCGUACAGUAUAUAUAAUAUAUAUGCUAAUUUCUCUCGUGUGCCUUUGAAAUUUUCACUGAAGAGUAUUUUUGCCCCUUUAAAUUAUCUGGAAACAAUUCCAGCAUCUUGUGCAGAAGUUGAGAGCAAACCUUAAUUCAAAAGAUAUGUCAGAGGCCAAUUUGUUGCAUUGUCUAUACUGUAAUAGUGUUUUAAACAAAAUUCUACUAUGAAUUUCACCACUCUUGCCAAAGGACAAUCCAUUCUUGUAUUGGAAACGUAUCACUUAAAAUGCAAUGAAUAUAAAUUGUAAAUGUUUAUUUUUAGAAUAAAAUCAAUGUUCAGAAUUUUUUCAAAUGUAUAUUUUGCAGUGUCAAGGAACAUGGAGAAGUCUCUUUUACCAGUAGUUUUAAUGUAUGCCAAGAACAUUUUAGACUUGCUGUGGGCAGCCAGAUGAUACCAAUUGCUGAAGGCAACCGCUUGGCCGACCCUCUCCCUGAAUGAAUCUACCUCCGUCAGUGCUCAGAUGCAAUAGUGUAUGGUGAUUUUGCCCUGAUAGUGUUUUUUGCAGGGAGAAUGAGAUUAUUGGAUCCUGGGAGUUGGAAGGGGAUAAUUUCACCAACUUGACCACUUGAAGUUGGACCUGUAUUACACACAUUUAUGGUCAAAGAAAAGUUCUGCCUUUACAGGAUUCUGUGAAUGUCUUGGAAUUGGAUAGCAAGGACAGUGUUAAUUGUGGCAGCAUAUUUAUAUUCUACUGCACGAGUCCAUACAAUGCUCCAAAUCUGUUCUUGAUAUAUUGGUUUAUGUAGAUUUACUAUGUUAAAAAAGACUUAUUCUAUACCAUUUGCAAUAAAACAAAAACAUCUCAGCAAUCUGAGAUGAAUCUACAGAGA